CCUACGGGAGGCUGCAGUGGGGAAUAUUGGACAAUGGGGGGAACCCUGAUCCAGCCAUGCCGCGUGUGUGAAGAAGGCCCUCGGGUUGUAAAGCACUUUCAGUGAGGAAGAACGCCUGGUGGUUAAUACCCAUCAGGAAAGACAUCACUCACAGAAGAAGCACCGGCUAACUCCGUGCCAGCAGCCGCGGUAAUACGGAGGGUGCGAGCGUUAAUCGGAAUUACUGGGCGUAAAGCGCGCGUAGGUGGCUUGAUAAGACGGUUGUGAAAGCCCCGGGCUCAACCUGGGAACGGCAUCCGGAACUGUCAAGCUAGAGUGCAGGAGAGGAAGGUAGAAUUCCCGGUGUAGCGGUGAAAUGCGUAGAGAUCGGGAGGAAUACCAGUGGCGAAGGCGGCCUUCUGGACUGACACUGACACUGAGGUGCGAAAGCGUGGGUAGCAAACAGGAUUAGAUACCCCUGUAGUC
rnacentral:rRNA from 1 species